rnacentral:misc_RNA from 1 species
GUUAAAUAGAGGAUAAUAAAAAAACAAGUACCAUAUCAACAACACCAACCACACACACCCAAUCCCAAAAAAGAAAAGGGAGAAAAAGAAGUGGAAGAAGGUCAGAGUAUCCUUCCAAUAUUUAAAAACUUGUACAAAAAAAGGGGGUAAGACUCUAAAAAUAGAACUCUAUUUGGCAGCUUGUUCUAAGAUAGGAACUUUCUUCCAAUCCUCUUCCAAGGCAUUACUUUGCAAAGGGGGCAAUGAAAACAAGUUCACAGUUGAGCUUCCACUCCGAACCUCCUUAAGGACACGCAAUGCUGAUAAAGUUAGCUUCAUGAACAUGUUCUCCAUAUUCUCAAUCUCAGCAAGCUCUCUUGGUACUUCAAGUGGCAUAUCCUUGCUUUCUGAUGAAGUUUCGGAGUCACAACCUCCUACGACAGUUGCAUCAGGUGAUAUUGACGGUUCUUUUCUAGAGAAAAGACUAUCAAGUAUGGUCUCACACUCCUUCACAAGCUUGUUAAGCACAUGAGUAGUGAAGAAUGGCUGCUGCAUAACCUUUUGGAUGAAAGGCAAGCGAACCAAAGCACCACUUCGCUUGUCAUAUUUUUUUAAUAUCUUCACAAGUCCUGCGCAAAGAACAUCAAGUUUAGAAACAAAUUCAACUACAAACUCAUGAAUGAAAACAUCUCCAAGUAGAGCAAAUCAACAGUUUAAAUCUUGAACUAAUCCAUUUGGUGAAAACUUCUUUUAUUUUUUGCUUCUUCAAUUGUGCAAAAUUGUGCAAUAUUCAACCAGAACAGCUGCUCUGGUUUUAGCAUUUUGUAUUGGCAAUAAUAAGGUCCUCAUCAAAAUAUCACAAUCAUUCUGGCAAUUAUUUCUUAGGAAUACGGGAAAUAUUUAGCAUCACAUUAUCAAAUCGCCUAAAAAUUAGCUGUGAAUAGGGGUACAAUGAUGUCAUAUUUGGUGCAGUGUGGAAACUCCAGGAAUUCCAUUCAUGGUAGAAGAGGAAAACCAAAUAUUUAAGCCACAUUUUUUUCUACUCACCUGUGUAGUUAAGAGCACUGUAAUUCUCCAACAAAACCAUCUCUCCAUGGAAAUUCACUAUCUCCCUUCCCACUUCCAUCAGUUCUUCAUUUGAAUCCUUGGCCUUUUUUACUCUAUCUUGCAGCUCCUGCAUUCAACCACAAUCACAAAAAGAAAUUUCAAUUGAAUAUAUGUUCAUGAAUCCCAAUUUCCAUUCUCACCAAGAAUGGCUGCACAUCCAACAGCAGGAUAUUGCAUCCUAUAGAAAAUGAAGGAAAAAAAAAUCACCGAGAACCAAUUUAAACCCAUCCAGAGAAACACGGACGCCAACCACACAAAUCAAGUGAUGGGAAAUACAUCAGAAUAUGACAAUGAAAAUCUCCAAAAGCAAGCUUCACAUAGAUUGAGUUUUAUGUAUAUGGAACAGUUUAGUAACAAAGCAUGUAGAAGUAUAGCAGACAUGUCUUCGCUGGAGAGAAGAAUCUCUGUUUCUUCAACCACUGUGUCAAUCAAUUGAUGUAUAGGCCAUUUAGAUCCAGAUGAAAUUGUGAAAGAAUUAAUUCCUUCCACCCUUAUCAAAUUGAGCCUAAUAUCAGCUACAACCAUUAGCAUCUCACAGAUUUCCAAUUAUUUUGCAAAUCUAUAGAAGACAAGAAAAAAAAAAUUCCCUUUCCCCCUUUCAAAUUGGAAACUUUUACACAAUAUUACAAACUCACUGGCCACAUACAAAUUUUGCCAUCUUCUAAUAUAAAAUUUUGUGCAUUAUUUUUCUACAAAACAUACAAAAUCCUCACAUAAUAUCCAAAAAAUUUAAAUUUCUUAUAUUCUAACUUAACAUAUUCAAAACAACGAAAAUCAAUCAAAAUUAUAGAAAUAAAUAAAA